rnacentral:ncRNA from 1 species
AAAGACUUGGUCCCAACCUUACUGUUGGUUGUUGCUAGACUUAUACAUGCAAGUAUCCGCGCGCCAGUGAGAAAAGCCCUAGGCACCCUAAAUAGGUCGAUAGGAGCGGGUAUCAGGCACACCAUUACUGUAGCCCAAGACGCCUUGCAAUUGCCACGCCCCCACGGGUAUUCAGCAGUAGUUAAUAUUAAGCAAUGAGUGUAAACUUGACUUAGUCAUAGCAAUUUAGGGUCGGUAAAUCCUGUGCCAGCCACCGCGGUCAUACAGGAGACCCAAAUUAACAUUAUAACGGCGUAAAGUGUGGUACUAUGUUAUCCGAGUAACUAAGAUUAAAAAGCAACUGAGCCGUCACAAGCCAAAGAUGCUCAUAAGGCCACUUACAAAAGAAAAUCUUAGAGCCACGAUUAAUUGAAACCCACGAAAGCCAGGGCCCAAACUGGGAUUAGAUACCCCACUAUGCCUGGCCCUAAAUCAUGAUGCUCGAUCUUACCGGAGCAUCCGCCCGAGAACUACGAGCGCAAACGCUUAAAACUCUAAGGACCUGGCGGUGCUCUAAACCCACCUAGAGGAGCCUGUUCUGUAAUCGAUGAUCCACGAUAUACCUUACCAUCCCUUGCCAAAUCAGCCUACAUACCGCCGUCGCCAGCCCACCCACCUUGAAGGCCCAACAGUGGACGCAAUAGCCCCGUUACGCUAAUACGACAGGUCAAGGUAUAGCCUAUGGGAUGGAAGUAAUGGGCUACAUUUUCUAGUUUAGAACACACGGCAAAGGGAUCUGAAACGGCCCCUGGAAGGCGGAUUUAGCAGUAAAGAGAGAUAAUCGAGCUCUCUUUAAGCCGGCUCUAGAGCGCGUACACACCGCCCGUCACCCUCCUCAAAAGCGACCAAAACCCCCCCCAUAAUUAAUAAGUUAUUCAGCCGAAGAUGAGGUAAGUCGUAACAAGGUAAGUGUACCGGAAGGUGUACUUAGGAUAC